rnacentral:misc_RNA from 1 species
ACACCCUCAAGCACAGCUUGGUGUUGGGCGUCUGUCUUUCUUAGACUCGCCUCAAAAAGAUUGGCAGCCACUUCAGCGGCUUUGAGCGCAGCAGAAUUGCGUCCUCUAGCAGCGGAAGGUGGCAUCCAAAAGUUUUCUUUUA